rnacentral:rRNA from 2 species
UGCAGUCGACGAACUCUGGUAUUGAUUGGUGCUUGCAUCAUGAUUUACAUUUGAGUGAGUGGCGAACUGGUGAGUAACACGUGGGAAACCUGCCCAGAAGCGGGGGAUAACACCUGGAAACAGAUGCUAAUACCGCAUAACAACUUGGACCGCAUGGUCCGAGUUUGAAAGAUGGCUUCGGCUAUCACUUUUGGAUGGUCCCGCGGCGUAUUAGCUAGAUGGUGGGGUAACGGCUCACCAUGGCAAUGAUACGUAGCCGACCUGAGAGGGUAAUCGGCCACAUUGGGACUGAGACACGGCCCAAACUCCUACGGGAGGCAGCAGUAGGGAAUCUUCCACAAUGGACGAAAGUCUGAUGGAGCAACGCCGCGUGAGUGAAGAAGGGUUUCGGCUCGUAAAACUCUGUUGUUAAAGAAGAACAUAUCUGAGAGUAACUGUUCAGGUAUUGACGGUAUUUAACCAGAAAGCCACGGCUAACUACGUGCCAGCAGCCGCGGUAAUACGUAGGUGGCAAGCGUUGUCCGGAUUUAUUGGGCGUAAAGCGAGCGCAGGCGGUUUUUUAAGUCUGAUGUGAAAGCCUUCGGCUCAACCGAAGAAGUGCAUCGGAAACUGGGAAACUUGAGUGCAGAAGAGGACAGUGGAACUCCAUGUGUAGCGGUGAAAUGCGUAGAUAU